GACGUAGGAGGCGAGCGUUGUCCGGAGUUACUGGGCGUAAAGCGCGCGCAGGCGGUCGCGCAGGUCAUCUGUGAAAGCACCCGGCUCAACCGGGCUGUGGCCGUUGAAACUGGCGAACUGGAGUGUGGCAGAGGGGGUGGAAUUCCGCGUGUAGCAGUGAAAUGCGUAGAGAUGCGGAGGAACACCGAUGGCGAAGGCAGCCCCCUGGGCUAACACUGACGCUCAGGCACGAAAGCGUGGGGAGCAAACAGG
rnacentral:rRNA from 1 species